AGAGUUUGAUCCUGGCUCAGGAUGAACGCUGGCGGCGUGCCUAACACAUGCAAGUCGAGCGUGAUUGUGUGGAUUGAAGCUUCGGCCGAGAGAAACACAUGAAAGCGGCGGACGGGUGAGUAACGCGUGGGCAACCUGCCCCAUACAGCGGAAUAGCCACUGGAAACGGUGAUUAAUGCCGCAUAAGACCACGGCAUCGCAUGGUGAUGUGGUCAAAGAUUUAUCGGUAUGGGAUGGGCCCGCGUCUGAUUAGCUAGUUGGUGAGGUAACGGCUCACCAAGGCGACGAUCAGUAGCCGACCUGAGAGGGCGGACGGCCACACUGGAACUGAGACACGGUCCAGACUCCUACGGGAGGCAGCAGUGGGGAAUAUUGCACAAUGGGCGCAAGCCUGAUGCAGCAACGCCGCGUGAGUGAAGAAGGCCUUCGGGUCGUAAAGCUCUGUCCUGUGGGAAGAAAAAAAUGACGGUACCACAGGAGGAAGCCCCGGCUAACUACGUGCCAGCAGCCGCGGUAAUACGUAGGGGGCAAGCGUUAUCCGGAAUCACUGGGCGUAAAGGGUGCGUAGGCGGUCUGUCAAGUCAGAAGUGAAAGGCAAUGGCUUAACCAUUGUAAGCUUUCGAAACUGACGGACUUGAGUGCAGGAGAGGUAAGUGGAAUUCCUAGUGUAGCGGUGAAAUGCGUAGAUAUUAGGAGGAACACCAGUGGCGAAGGCGACUUACUGGACUGUAACUGACGCUGAGGCACGAAAGCGUGGGGAGCGAACAGGAUUAGAUACCCUGGUAGUCCACGCCGUAAAC
rnacentral:rRNA from 2 species